UCUGUCUCUGUCUGUCUCUGUCUCUGUGUCUGUCUGUACCUCAGGUAAUACGUGGGAGAAGUAGUACCUGUGUUUUUUGUUUUAUAUGAUGAAUGUCUCGAAGUUAAGCCGAGACCAUCAUAAGGUAAUUGGUGAAUGUCUCGAAGUUAAGCCGAGACCACCAUAAGGUAAAUAGUGAAAGCGCCGAAGUUAAGCCGGGCCACUAUAAGGUUUAUUUAUUACCGGCCACAAACUUCCAAACUCUUUACGGUGGGGGGAGGAAAGGUCAGGUUUUUAACGUUAAUCUAGCUUAGUUGCAUAUUAAAACGGAGGCUUGGCCAAGGAGUUCAAAUUGGAUUGAUUCCUCCCGGUUCAUUUCAAAUCUAAUGUGCAAUUUUGAUUAGUAUACAACGCAGCCGUAGAGUGUAACCACGUGGUGUUAAAGAGACGGCGCGUCUUCGUGACGUGGGUUUCCUUUGUCCAGACGUCCGCCAUCUUGGGUCUUGCAGAGACCAAGAGCAGCGGGGAGCCUAACUACAGUGUUACAUUCUCUCCCACCCUCCCUCUCUCUCCCUCUUUCUCCUCCCCCUCUCUCUCCCUCCUCCUCCCC
ensembl:lncRNA